GCCCGCUCAGAAACUCAAAGGAAUUGACGGGACCCCGCACAAGCGGUGGAUCAUGUUGUUUAAUUCGAUGAUACGCGAAGAACCUUACCGGGUCUUGACAUCCCCCGCGAUGCUUUAGAGAUAAAGCGGAGGUAUUCGGGAGACAGGUGGUGCAUGGUUGUCGUCAGCUCGUGUCGUGAGAUGUUGGGUUAAGUCCCGCAACGAGCGCAACCCCUAUUGCUAGUUACCAUCAUUAAGUUGGGGACUCUAGCGAGACUGCCAGUGAUAAACUGGAGGAAGGUGGGGAUGACGUCAAAUCAUCAUGCCCCUUAUGACCUGGGCUACAAACGUGAUACAAUGGCUGGAACAAAGGGAUGCGAAGCAGUGAUGUGGAGCGAAACCCAUAAAAACAGUCUCAGUUCGGAUUGAAGUCUGCAACUCGACUUCAUGAAGUCGGAAUCGCUAGUAAUCGCGGAUCAGAACGCCGCGGUGAAUACGUUCUCGGGGUUU
rnacentral:rRNA from 1 species